AGAGUUUGAUCCUGGCUCAGGACGAACGCUGGCGGUGCGCCUUAUGCAUGCAAGUUGAGCGAAGCUUUUUGGUAGUUUACUACUAGAAAUGACUGAGCGGCGAACGGGUGAGUAACGCGUGAGCAAUCUACCUUAGUUACUGGGAUAGCCCGAGGAAACUCGGAUUAAUACCGGAUAUUCUUAUUUUUUCACAUGAAGUUUUAAGGAAAGGUCAGCCGAACUAAGAUGAGCUCGCGUUCUAUCAGCUAGUUGGUGGGGUAAAAGCCUACCAAGGCUACGACGGAUAGCUGGUCUGAGAGGACGAUCAGCCACACUGGGACUGAGACACGGCCCAGACUCCUACGGGAGGCUGCAGCAGGGAAUAUUGUGCAAUGAGCGAAAGCUUGACACAGCGACACCGCGUGUGGGAUGACGGUUCUAGGAUUGUAAACCACUUUCAGGAGGGAAGAAAAUGACGGUACCUCCACAAGAAGACCCGGCCAACUAUGUGCCAGCAGCCGCGGUAAUACAUAGGGGUCAAGCGUUGUCCGGAUUUAUUGGGCGUAAAGAGCUCGUAGGCGGUUCAACAAGUCGGUCGUAAAAGUUUAGGGCUCAACCCUAAAAUGUCGAUCGAUACUGUUGUGACUAGGAUACGGUAGAGGUGAAUGGAAUUCCGAGUGUAGCGGUGAAAUGCGUAGAUAUUCGGAGGAACACCAAUUGCGAAGGCAGUUCACUGGACCGUGAUCGACGCUGAGGAGCGAAAGCUAGGGGAGCAAACAGGAUUAGAUACCCUGGUAGUCCUAGCUGUAAACGAUGGAUACUAGAUGUAGGAACUGGAUUGACGGUUUCUGUAUCGUAGCUAACGCGUUAAGUAUCCCGCCUGGGGAGUACGGUCGCAAGACUAAAACUCAAAGGAAUUGACGGGACCCCGCACAAGCGGCGGAGCAUGCGGCUUAAUUCGAUGAUACCCGUAGAACCUUACCUGGACUUGACAUAUAGGGAAAAACUGGAGAAAUU
rnacentral:rRNA from 1 species